GAUGAACGCUAGCGGCAGGCCUAAUACAUGCCAGUCGAGGGGUAUGGGUUGCUUGCAACCCAGAGACCGGCGCACGGGUUCGUAACGCGUAUGCAAUCUACCUUAAUCAGGGGGAUAGCCCGGAGAAAUCCGGAUUAACACCGCAUAACAUUGAGUUGUGGCAUCACAGUUCAAUCAAAUAUUUAUAGGAUUAAGAUGAGCAUGCGUGACAUUAGUUAGUUGGUGAGGUAACGGCUCACCAAGACCACGAUGUCUAGGGGAUCUGAGAGGAUGACCCCCCACACUGGUACUGAGACACGGACCAGACUCCUACGGGAGGCAGCAGUAAGGAAUAUUGGUCAAUGGGCGCAAGCCUGAACCAGCCAUGCCGCGUGCAGGAAGACGGCCCUAUGGGUUGUAAACUGCUUUUGUACCGGAAUAAACCUUCUCUUGCGAGAGAAGCUGAACGUACGGUAAGAAUAAGGAUCGGCUAACUCCGUG
rnacentral:rRNA from 1 species